rnacentral:lncRNA from 1 species
CUUAUGUCAACACUGUGGCUCAGAGCCAAUCCCCAUAUGCCAUGGGGUGGUCAAAAAAGAAAAACAAAACAAAAAACUAUAAUAAUGCAUUAGUUGGUGAGUCACUCUAAUUGAGAGCAUUGGGAAAUACGACGAAACCAAAAAAGCAAAGAGGCUUCCUGAGGGACAGAACAUGAGCAAAGAAUAUUUUAUUAUAGGAGUUCCUGCUGUGGCAUAACAGGAUCAGUGUCUCUGAAGUGCUGGGAUACAGGUUCAUUCCCCAGCCCGGCACAAUGGGUUAAGGAUCUGGCAUUGCCAGAGCUGUAAGUGUAGGUCACAACUGUGGCUCAGAACUUAUUCCUGGCCCAGGAAUGCCGUAUGCCACAAGGGAGCCAAAAAAUAAAGAAAAAAAGAAUAUUUUAUUACAAUCAGGAGACCUGGUAUUAAUCUGCAUUUUAACAGUGCUAAGUGUGACCGGUAAAAGUCACGUUAACAGAGAGCUCCCAUUGUGGCACAGAGAAAAGGAGUCCAACUAGGAACCAUAAGGUUGUGGGUUCGAUCCCUAGCCUCACUCAGUGGGUUAAGGAUAGGGCGUUGCCAUGAGCUGUGGUGUAGGUCGCAGAUGUGGCUGAGAUCCUGCUGUGGCUAUAGUGUAGGCUGGCAGUUGCAGCUCCUAUUUGACCCCUAGCCUGGAACCUCCAUUCACAACAAGUGUGGCCCUAAAAAGCAAAUAAAUAAAUAAAUAAAUAAAAGUCACUUUAAUAGAUCCAGCAUGCAGAAAAGAACAUUCAGCAAGAACAUAGCUGAACUCAACAACACAAUCUAUUGGAUCUAAUUGACAUCUAUAGACAAUUUCAUCCAGUAACAGCAGAAUAUACAUUCUUAAGCUGACUUGAGUAUUCACCGAGAGAGAUCACAUUCUGGGCCAUAAAACAUGCCUCAAUAAAUUAAAAAGAAUAAAAAUUAUACAAUGCCUCUUUUCAGAUCAAAAGGGAAUUACAUUAGAAGUCAACAAUGAAAGGUAGUUGGAAAAUCCCCAAAUGCUUGGAGAUUAAAUGACACAUUUCUAAUUAAUACAUGAGUCAAUAAAGAAAUUGAAAGAUAAAUUUUUAAAUAUUUUGAACUAAAUAAAAAUGAAAAUACAACUUAUCAGAAUUUGUGGAUACAACAAAAACAAAGGGAAAUUUACAGCAAUGAGCACAUUUUAGAAAAGAACUAAAAUCAUAAUCUAAGCUUAUACUGGAAAGAAACUGGAAAAAGAAGAGCAAAUUAAGCCCAAAGUAAAUAGAAGAAAAGAGAUAAUAUAAAAUUAGAGCAUAAAUCAAUGGAAUUGAAUAUAGGAAAUCAAGAGAAAAUUAAUGAAACCAAAAGCUGGUUCUUUGAAAAGAUCAAUAAAAUCAACAGGUCUCUAGACAGGCUAAGAAAAAUAAGAAAGAAUAUAAACUACUAGUAACAGAAAUAAAAGAGAAGACAUCACUGAUCAUAUCUCACACAUUACAAGAAUAAUAAAGGGAUACUAUGAACGUAUCUAUGUCCACGAAUUUAAUAACAUAGGUAAAAUGGACCAAUUACUUCAAAGACAAAAUCUGCCAAAACUCACACAAGAAACAAGUCAUCUGCAUAAGCCUAUACCUAUUAAAGAAAUUGACCCAAUAAAUAAUAUCCUUACAAAGUAGAAAGCACCAGUCCCAGAUGGGUUCACUGAUGAAUUCUACCAAAUAUUUAAGGAAGAAAUUAUACCAAUUCCCUAUAAUCUCUUUUUUUUUUUCUUUUUGUCUUUUUCUAGGGCUGCUCCUGCGGCAUAUGGAGGUUCCCAGGCUAAAGGUCUAAUCAGCAUAUGGAGCAGCCCUAGAAAAGGCAAAAAGACAAAAAAAAAAAAAAAAAAAGUGUUCCCUAUCACUGCGGCGGGUCACUCGGGGGUUACACGGGGAGGAGUGGGGGUGGGGGGCUCACCUUCAUUUUCAACCACUGCUGCCAGUCUCUUCCUGAAGGGUCUCCACU